rnacentral:rRNA from 1 species
AUUGAACGCUGGCGGCAUGCUUUACACAUGCAAGUCGAACGGUAACAGGUUAAGCUGACGAGUGGCGAACGGGUGAGUAAUGCAUCGGAACGUGCCCGGUCGUGGGGGAUAACGCAGCGAAAGCUGCGUUAAUACCGCAUACGAUCUAAGGAUGAAAGCGGGGGACCGUAAGGCCUCGCGCGAUCGGAGCGGCCGAUGUCAGAUUAGGUAGUUGGUGGGGUAAAGGCUCACCAAGCCAACGAUCUGUAGCUGGUCUGAGAGGACGACCAGCCACACUGGGACUGGGACACGGCCCAGACUCCUACGGGAGGCAGCAGUGGGGAAUUUUGGACAAUGGGCGAAAGCCUGAUCCAGCAAUGCCGCGUGCAGGAAGAAGGCCUUCGGGUUGUAAACUGCUUUUGUACGGAGCGAAAAGGUCUCCUCUAAUACAGGGGGCUCAUGACGGUACCGUAAGAAUAAGCACCGGCUAACUACGUGCCAGCCGCCGCUGUAA